UUGCUUCAGCAGCACAUAUACUAAAAUUGGAAGGACACACAGAAGAUUACCAUGGCCCCUGCACAAGGAUGACACUCAAAUUCAUAAAGCAUUCCAUAUUUUU
ensembl:snRNA U6 U6 spliceosomal RNA